rnacentral:rRNA from 1 species
GAUGAACGCUGGCGGCGUGCUUAACACAUGCAAGUCGAACGGAAAGGCCCAAGCUUGCUUGGGUACUCGAGUGGCGAACGGGUGAGUAACACGUGGGUGAUCUGCCCUGCACUUCGGGAUAAGCCUGGGAAACUGGGUCUAAUACCGGAUAGGACGAUGGUUUGGAUGCCAUUGUGGAAAGUUUUUUCGGUGUGGGAUGAGCUCGCGGCCUAUCAGCUUGUUGGUGGGGUAAUGGCCUACCAAGGCGUCGACGGGUAGCCGGCCUGAGAGGGUGUACGGCCACAUUGGGACUGAGAUACGGCCCAGACUCCUACGGGGGGCAGCAGUGGGGAAUAUUGCACAAUGGGCGCAAGCCUGAUGCAGCGACGCCGCGUGGGGGGUGACGGCCUUCGGGUUGUAAACUCCUUUCGCUAGGGACGAAGCGUUUUUGUGACGGUACCUGGAGAAGAAGCACCGGCUAACUACGUG